rnacentral:rRNA from 1 species
UACGGGGGGAGCAAGCGUUGUUCGGAAUUACUGGGCGUAAAGCGCACGUAGGCGGAUUUGUAAGUCAGGGGUGAAAUCCCGGGGCUCAACCUCGGAACUGCCUUUGAUACUGCAAAUCUCGAGUCCGAUAGAGGUGGGUGGAAUUCCUAGUGUAGAGGUGAAAUUCGUAGAUAUUAGGAAGAACACCGGUGGCGAAGGCGGCCCACUGGAUCGGUACUGACGCUGAGGUGCGAAAGCGUGGGGAGCAAACAGG